AUGCUUCUCCUAAAGACUAAGCCAUGCAUGCCUUCGAAUAAGAGGAAGCAAUUCUCUCUGAAUCUGCGAACGGCUCCGCAAACCAGUUGUAAACUAUAGCAAGCAAGCCCGGGUCCCUCGGGGCUCGGGCAACACGGAUAACCCUGGUAAUUCUGAGGCUAAUACAACACCGUAAACCCUAGCUAACCGGGCAACUGGAAGGCUGGGGAGCGUGCGUAUUUUUCGCGAGGUUUUUCCGGGAAUGGUUG
rnacentral:rRNA from 1 species